GACGAACGCUGGCGGCGUGCUUAACACAUGCAAGUCGAACGGUGAAGCGCCUUCCUUUUUGGUGGGUGUGGAUGAGUGGCGAACGGGUGAGUAACACGUGAGUAACCUGCCCCCUUCUUCUGGAUAACCGCAUGAAAGUGUGGCUAAUACGGGAUAUUCUGGGUCUGUCGCAUGAUGGGUCUGGGAAAGAUAUUGUUUCGGUGGGGGAUGGGCUCGCGGCCUAUCAGCUUGUUGGUGGGGUGAUGGCCUACCAAGGCGGUGACGGGUAGCCGGCCUGAGAGGGUGGACGGUCCCACUGGGACUGAGGCACGGCCCCGACUCCUACGGGAGGCAGCAGUGGGGAAUAUUGCACAAUGGGCGCAAGCCUGAUGCAGCGACGCCGCGUGAGGGAUGGAGGCCUUCGGGUUGUGAACCUCUUUCGCCAGUGAAGCAGGCCUGCCUCGUUUGUGGGUGGGUUGACGGUAGCUGGAGAAGAAGCGCCGGCUAACUACGUG
rnacentral:rRNA from 1 species